rnacentral:lncRNA from 1 species
CAGGUCGAAGAAGGGGGCAAAGCAGACACCCUGAGCUCCAAACUGCAGGCCGGGGAUGAGGUUGUGCACAUCAAUGAGGUGACUCUGAGCAGCUCCAGAAAGGAGGCAGUUUCCCUGGUGAAAGGAUCCUACAAGACCCUCAGGCUGGUAGUGCGCAGUUGAACUUUCAAAGGAAAAGGAGGCUGCCUUUACAUCUGACACAUGCUUAUAGAUGGGGAUUAUCAACACGCCUCCAGAGGCAUGGAUGGACAUUCCUCCCCUACCUUGCAGAGAUCCGGGUAGAAGCCUCUUUGCGCUGGAUUAAUCUGGCUUUGUAUUUCGUAGUGCCGUCACUUUCCUGAGAAGUCUUACCUUUAUACCUUGGCACACGUCAUCGUCCUGAGAUUCUGUUUCCUUUGAUUUAUUGAUGCCAGAGUGACUAAGGACAUUUCAUUUAUUAACUUUCUUUUUUUC